UACGUAGGGGGCGAGCGUUGUCCGAAUUUACUGGGCGUAAAGCGCGCGUAGGCGGCUCUUCGAGUCCGGGGUGAAAGGUUCAGCGCUCAACGCGAACAGUGCCCUGGAUACUGGGGGGCUUGAGUCCGGCAGGGGGGGACGGAAUUCCUGGUGUAGCGGUGAAAUGCGUAGAUAUCAGGAGGAACACCGGUGGCGAAGGCGGUCCCCUGGGCUGAGACUGACGCUGAGGUGCGAAAGCGUGGGGAGCGAACGGG
rnacentral:rRNA from 1 species